AUGUAUGUAGGCCUGGCUAUGACCUUUGAAAUAGUUGAAAGUAAAUCCCAGUAGUAUCUAGUGAAACACGCAUGCAAACGCCCUUCUGUCCCUCAUUCCCUCAAACUCGAUCUUCUACAUUUGUUGUGUAAAAAGGACAUACAUUCAAGAUGUUUGUAGGGUCCUCACCUCAGCUGCUACCUCUCACAAGGUGCCCCUGAAAAAGAAAUUCAAGACGUUUGGGUCCUCAGCUCAACUGACCAAGACCUUUGCUCAUUGAAGGCAUGAAGUAAUUUGUGAUGCCCCCACGAUUGCAGUUUUUAAAUCCAGAUGGCUUGCUCUUUUUAACAUGUGCGAGAGCUGGAUGGUCUUUCAACAACACUGCUCCGGGUCUUCAGCAAGAAAGGUGCUUCUCAUGCAAGGAAGAUACAGAGGAUCCUGGUGCCCAUGACUCAGACUGACAACAUUGAUGUGAAGAGGGAGUGCAUGCUGAGGAGCUGACGGUCUACCUGAAUGAAGAGCCAGACAAAGUGGAUGUUGAUCUGGACGGUCCAGCUGAAACGUAUUGUCUUUGUGUGCGUG